rnacentral:rRNA from 1 species
GAAGAAAAGCCCCGGGUUAAUACCCUGGGGUCAUGACGGUACCGUAAGAAUAAGCACCGGCUAACUUCGUGCCAGCAGCCGCGGUAAUACGAAGGGUGCAAGCGUUACUCGGAAUUACUGGGCGUAAAGCGUGCGUAGGUGGUCUGUCAAGUCCGAUGUGAAAGCCCUGGGCUCAACCUGGGAACUGCAUUGGAAACUGGCAGUCUGGAGUGCGGUAGAGGGUAGCGGAAUUCCCGGUGUAGCAGUGAAAUGCGUAGAUAUCGGGAGGAACAUCCGUGGCGAAGGCGGCUACCUGGACCAGCACUGACACUGAGGCACGAAAGCGUGGGGAGCAAACAGGAUUAGAUACCCUGGUAGUCCACGCCCUAAACGAUGCGAACUGGAUGUUGGGGGCACUUUGGCCUUCAGUAUCGAAGCUAACGCGUUAAGUUCGCCGCCUGGGGAGUACGGUCGCAAGACUGAAACUCAAAGGAAUUGACGGGGGCCCGCACAAGCGGUGGAGUAUGUGGUUUAAUUCGAUGCAACGCGCAGAACCUUACCUGGCCUUGACAUCCACGGAACCCUCCAGAGACGGAGGGGUGCCUUCGGGAACCGUGAGACAGGUGCUGCAUGGCUGUCGU